rnacentral:rRNA from 1 species
AUGGGCGCAGGCCAUGUGAAUCCAACAAGAGCCGCUGACCCUGGCUUGGUGUACGACCUAGGUGUCACCGACUAUGCUGGCUACAUCUGCCGGCUCCUCGGUGAUAGAGGCCUGACAACCAUCGUGCGUAACAAGAGCUUGAACUGCGCAAAGCUACCAAAGGUCAGAGAUGUUGAGCUCAACUACCCAACUAUUACUGUGCCAUUGAAGCCUACUACCUUCAUGGUGAAUCGGACGGUGACGAACGUCGGGCCGUCAUCAUCGACAUACAUUGCGAAGUUGGACAUGCAUGCCCAAGUAACUCACAGUACGCGUCACCCCGAACAAGCUGGUGUUCUCGAAGGCCGGGGAGAAGAAGACAUUCAGCGUGUCAGUGAGUGGCAAGGGCGUUCAUGGACAAAAACAUGUGGAGGGAAGCUUGAGUUGGGUGUCCACGCGACAUGUUGUGAGGAGCCCAAUCAUCGCUGUUCCUAA